rnacentral:lncRNA from 1 species
AUUUAAUAAGUGUUACCUUGGAAGAUGUUUUUCCCUGCUCUUCAUGGACCCUGUGAAGUGAGAACCCAGAGGGUCUUUGCCAGCAUUCCCAUGAGUAUGGUGUACAACCUGAGUGCAUAUUGAUAGUUCCUGUUCCUUUUGGCUAACCAGUAUGAAAAGUCCAGUUGCUGAAACAGUCUGAUUUGUUGAAUGAAGCCUGCUUCUGCCUUAUGAGCAGUGCUGGGGCAACAGCUAUUGCAGAGCAGGAGGCAUGCUGCUGGGUCUACUGUGAGCAGGCUCCAGCUGUUCGUCUUAUAAGGUAACAUGAAUCAGAAUGCAGCAAGGGAUGUUAAGGUGGUAAUAUCAAAUCUGACAGGAAAACGUGAAAAUAAAACAAACAGGAAAAAGAAUUCAAACUGGCAACUCCAAACCACAGCCCGAAUCAGGGAAAACAAAGGGCCGUAUUGGUUGUGGAUGUAGAACAUGUUGAGAACUUUGGAUUGAAGACAUGCAAGUAUAAUUUAUUAUUUCCUACGCUGUCUUCAUUAUUUCUACAAUGGCAACCUGAUAAAUCACUGAAUGUGAUUGCUUGAAGCAGUCAAAGGUUAAGAGACACCUGGUUACAAGUGCUGGUAGAAAACAAGGAAUUUCCCAGCGUGCAUAAGUGCUCUCAAAGAAAUCUAGGCAAGUACCCUCCUUUGCAAUAGACCAUUUCUCUUCUCUCCUUGGUAGUACUAG